rnacentral:rRNA from 1 species
CACUCCUGCGGGAGGCAGCAGUGGGGAAUUUUGGACAAUGGGCGAAAGCCUGAUCCAGCAAUGCCGCGUGUGUGAAGAAGGCCUUCGGGUUGUAAAGCACUUUUGUCCGGAAAGAAAUCCUUGGCUCUAAUACAGUCGGGGGAUGACGGUACCGGAAGAAUAAGCACCGGCUAACUACGUGCCAGCAGCCGCGGUAAUACGUAGGGUGCGAGCGUUAAUCGGAAUUACUGGGCGUAAAGCGUGCGCAGGCGGUUUGCUAAGACCGAUGUGAAAUCCCCGGGCUCAACCUGGGAACUGCAUUGGUGACUGGCAGGCUAGAGUAUGGCAGAGGGGGGUAGAAUUCCACGUGUAGCAGUGAAAUGCGUAGAGAUGUGGAGGAAUACCGAUGGCGAAGGCAGCCCCCUGGGCCAAUACUGACGCUCAUGCACGAAAGCGUGGGGAGCAAACAGGAUUGAAACCCCUGUAGUCCCAUG